rnacentral:rRNA from 1 species
CAGCAGCCGCGGGAAUACGAAGGGUGCAAGCGUUAAUCGGAAUUACUGGGCGUAAAGCGUGCGUAGGCGGUGAGUUAAGUCUGCUGUGAAAUCCCCGGGCUCAACCUGGGAAUGGCAGUGGAUACUGGCUCGCUAGAGUGUGUCAGAGGAUGGUGGAAUUCCCGGUGUAGCGGUGAAAUGCGUAGAGAUCGGGAGGAACAUCAGUGGCGAAGGCAGCCCCCUGGGCCAACACUGACGCUCAUGCACGAAAGCGUGGGGAGCAAACAGGAUUAGAUACCCGCGUAGUCCCUGUCUCUUAUAC